UUUGUUGUAGAUUGAUCUCAUACUUUCAAGUGAAUGUUAAUAAUAUCUACAGUAGUGAUUUCUCUGAGAGAAACUUAUUUAAAUAAUAAAUGUUUAUAAUUCAUGAUGUGUCAACAUUAUAAAAGAACAGAAACAAUUUUACAUUUAAGAUCAAUGGAGUAAAACUGAAAGUGUAGUUGAAACAUAUUGUAUUUAAUUAUUUGCUUAAUGUGUGUUAUAAAAUAACCUAUUUUCACAUGUGGACUAAGUCAUGCUGUUGACCCUCAAUAAAUG
rnacentral:lncRNA from 1 species